rnacentral:rRNA from 1 species
UACUAGAAGUUUGGAUCUGGCUCAGGACGAAUUGCUGGUACUGGUAGCUCGCCUAAUAGCAUGCAAGUCGAUCGGAUCAGCUGGCUCGCUUGCUCCCUGAUGUUAGCGGCGGACGGGUGAGUAACACGUGGGUAACCUGCCUGUAAGACUGGGAUAACUCCGGGAAACCGGGGCUAAUACCGGAUGGUUGUUUGAACCGCAUGGUUCAGACAUAAAAGGUGGCUUCGGCUACCACUUACAGAUGGACCCGCGGCGCAUUAGCUAGUUGGUGAGGUAACGGCUCACCAAGGCAACGAUGCGUAGCCGACCUGAGAGGGUGAUCGGCCACACUGGGACUGAGACACGGCCCAGACUCCUACGGGAGGCAGCAGUAGGGAAUCUUCCGCAAUGGACGAAAGUCUGACGGAGCAACGCCGCGUGAGUGAUGAAGGUUUUCGGAUCGUAAAGCUCUGUUGUUAGGGAAGAACAAGUGCCGUUCAAAUAGGGCGGCACCUUGACGGUACCUAACCAGAAAGCCACGGCUAACUACGUGCCAGCAGCCGCGGUAAUACGUAGGUGGCAAGCGUUGUCCGGAAUUAUUGGGCGUAAAGGGCUCGCAGGCGGUUUCUUAAGUCUGAUGUGAAAGCCCCCGGCUCAACCGGGGAGGGUCAUUGGAAACUGGGGAACUUGAGUGCAGAAGAGGAGAGUGGAAUUCCACGUGUAGCGGUGAAAUGCGUAGAGAUGUGGAGGAACACCAGUGGCGAAAGGCGACUCUCUGGUCUGUAACUGACGCUGAGGAGCGAAAGCGUGGGGAGCGAACAGGAUUAGAUACCCUGGUAGUCCACGCCGUAAACGAUGAGUGCUUAGUGUUAGGGGGUUUCCGCCCCUUAGUGCUGCAGUCUAACGCAUUAAGCACUCUCGCCUAGGGGAGUACGGUCGCAGACUGAAACUCAA